rnacentral:rRNA from 1 species
ACGAACGCUGGCGGCGUGCUUAACCCAUGCCCGUCGAACGGAAAGGCCCCUUUGGGGGUACUCGAGUGGCGAACGGGUGAGUAACACGUGAGUAACCUGCCCUUGACUUCGGGAUAACUUCAGGAAACUGGGGCUAAUACCGGAUAGGAAUCCUUGCUGCAUGGUGGGGGUUGGAAAGCUUCGGCGGUUUUGGAUGGACUCGCGGCUUAUCAGCUUGUUGGUGGGGUAGUGGCUUACCAAGGCUUUGACGGGUAGCCGGCCUGAGAGGGCGACCGGCCACAUUGGGACUGAGAUACGGCCCAGACUCCUACGGGAGGCAGCAGUGGGGAAUAUUGCACAAGGGGCGGAAGCCUGAUGCAGCAACGCCGCGUGCGGGAGGACGGCCUUCGGGUUGUAAACCGCUUUCAGCAGGGGCGAAGCUUGUGGUGACGGUACCUGCAGAAGAAGCACCGGCUAACUACGUG